AUUGAACGCUGGCGGAAUGCUUUACACAUGCAAGUCGAACGGCAGCACGGGGGCAACCCUGGUGGCGAGUGGCGAACGGGUGAGUAAUACAUCGGAACGUGCCCAGUCGUGGGGGAUAACGUAGCGAAAGCUACGCUAAUACCGCAUACGAUCUCUGGAUGAAAGCGGGGGACCGCAAGGCCUCGCGCGAUUGGAGCGGCCGAUGGCAGAUUAGGUAGUUGGUGGGGUAAAGGCUCACCAAGCCGACGAUCUGUAGCUGGUCUGAGAGGACGACCAGCCACACUGGGACUGAGACACGGCCCAGACUCCUACGGGAGGCAGCAGUGGGGAAUUUUGGACAAUGGGCGAAAGCCUGAUCCAGCCAUUCCGCGUGCAGGAUGAAGGCCCUCGGGUUGUAAACUGCUUUUGUACGGAACGAAACGGUCCUGGUUAAUACCUGGGGCUAAUGACGGUACCGUAAGAAUAAGCACCGGCUAACUACGUGCCAGCAGCCGCGGUAA
rnacentral:rRNA from 1 species